AGAAUCAACGCUGGCGGCGUGCCUAACACAUGCAAGUCGAACGAGAAAGUGGAGCAAUCCAUGAGUAAAGUGGCGACCGGGUGAGUAACACGUGACUAACCUACCUUCGAGUGGGGGAUAACCUCGGGAAACCGAGGCUAAUACCGCAUAACAUCGUGAGAUCAAAGCAGUAAUGCGCUGGAAGAGGGGGUCGCGGCUGAUUAGCUAGGUUGGCGGGGUAAUGGCCCACCAAGGCGAAGAUCGGGUA
rnacentral:rRNA from 1 species